CCUACGGGUGGCAGCAGUGAGGAAUAUUGGUCAAUGGCCGAGAGGCUGAACCAGCCAAGUCGCGUGAGGGAAGACGGCCCUACGGGUUGUAAACCUCUUUUGUCGGGGAGCAAAGCGAACCACGUGUGGUUCAUUGAGAGUACCCGAAGAAAAAGCAUCGGCUAAAUCCGUGCCAGCAGCCGCGGUAAUACGGAGGGUGCGGGCGUUAUCCGGAUUUAUUGGGUUUAAAGGGUGCGCAGGCCGCCUGUUAAGUUAGCGGUCAAAAGCCGGGGCCCAACCCCCGCCCCGCCGUGGAACCUGGCAGUCUCGAGUGGGAGGGAGGUAGGCGGAAUGCGCGGUGUAGCGGUGAAAUGCAUAGAUAGCGCGCAGAACUCCGAUUGCGAAGGCAGCAUGCCGGCUCCACACUGACGCUGAGGCACGAAAGCGUGGGUAUCGAACAGGAUUAGAUACCCCUGUAGUC
rnacentral:rRNA from 1 species